UGGAUGAAGAGGUUAUGGUUGGGGCACGGUGGCGGGCUUCGUUUCGCAAAUAGUCAAUAGUAAUGGGCGUGUUACAGCAAAAGUGGCCAAGGCAGAGCUGGCCACCUGGAUCUGGACGGCACAGGAGAGAUCGGACGGCGUCCGAUGGCCAGAGUGCAGAGUACCUAGAGCUGGCCGAGUUCAUAUAAGACGCAGCAACCAUGCCCGAUCCCUUCCUCACUCCCUCUCCUACCCAAAGCUCCAGUGGGGUUCCGACUCCAUGCGGCUCUGAAAUCUCCCAUACAUCCUGUGCCACCGCUACGCUCUGGAGCUGCCGCCCUGCUGUGGCUCGGCGUCGCCACCACCGCACCGCCUCUCGCCGGCCACCCCCGCGGUCCCCGUUGUACCUCAUGGAGUCGCAGCUGCCUCCACCCCGACGGCGGUCUUGGACACUGGUAUUCGAGAUAGAGAGGACGAGCUGCAAGGCGGCCAAGCCUCGCGGGCAGGAGGAGUUGGACACACAUGGAGAGUGCAGACCGAGAGGAUUCUGGCCACGGGGAGCACCGUCGGCGCGGAUUCACCCAUAGCAAAAAUAUGGUGUUAUCCUGAUUGAGCUUUUCUUCUAGCCACCAUCCUCCCCCUUCGCUUCCUCUUCUCACCCCGUUGUUUGGGUCUUCUUGACCUUGCAAGACCUUUUCUUGACCUUGUAAGACCCAACAAUAUCACGUUUUCUCCCACACUCUUCAUCUUCUUGUUCCACCUUCUUUUCCUUGCCAUGUUCCUUUCCACCCCUCUCUCUUCCAUCUUUCUUCCAUCUAUCCCUCCUGAGCUAUAUUUUUUUAUAGUUGCAUUUCUUAUAUUCAAAGUAUUGGGAACAAGAUGAUACAUGGAGUGACAAGUGAAGGAGAUUCUACCUCCUUUGUCAUACGAUGUGUGUAGAUUCAUCAUUUCCACGUUGUAUUUUCCUUCUUUUGUUUCGGUUGUAGAGAGUACAGUUGAUGAGAUACAAAAGCACAGUCCUUGUUGCCGUAAUGCUCAUGCACGUGGAGUAGGAGCCUACAUGUAAUUGAGCAUGUUUAUGUGUGCCAACGUUGUAAUAAGUUUGCUAUUCCUGCUUGAAUAGAAACAUUCUGAUGCUGUGGUACUGUUGA